CUCAGGUUAUCUGCCCGCCUCGGCCUCCCAAAAUGCUGGGAUUACAGGCGUCGACUUUUUUAACCCCUUUCACAGCACAUAAAGGUAACCCCAGUUCUCACACGUUUCUUUCGUGCACUUUCUCUCUCCAAAAGGGAAGCCGCCAAAAGGUCUUAACCCCUGGAUUUGGGAGGAUGGGAGUGAUCUUGGGAAGUUUAAUUAUGCACGACUGUAUUGGCUGCUAGACUGUGAGGCAUUUUCAGAAUUUUGUAACUUCAGGCUUCCUGGGAGAGCUUUGGCACAUGUCUCAUUCUUUUGAGGGCAUAGGGAAGGAUUUGGUUGAAGGGUUACAUUUUGGGAAUGUGAGUGGCUGUUUUGCAAUAUUAGUCAAACUUAGAGUUUCCUCUAAAUUUCAUGACCAGAAGUCACACCUUGUAGGUCUGAUUACACCGAAGACCCAGGAAACAGGAUUCUCUCAUCUGGAUUUCCUUGAGGUGUACAGGGCUAGAAGGGAGUAGUCUAUUGAAACAUCAUUGCAGAUCCAGUUAGAGCCAAGGUUCUCAUAUUUAAAUAUCUGGAGAGCCAAGACCAGAAUUGACCAGCAGAGGGCAACCAACAACUAUGUUGUGAAGGGAAGAAGGCUCCAUGGUUUACAAAAUGGAGGAUCUGGACCAAGAAGGGAAAUAUGGCAGAGGUAGUUUGCUACUUGAAGUUCAUCCCUUUUACUCUCAAAUGCUUCUCUUGUAACUUUUGUGGGUGAGAGGCCGAGGCUUCAAACCUUCAUAUACAAUAGAUCAUUUUAAAUUUCUACCAUCCCCAUGUACCCACCCCAUCUCCCCAAUUCCUUCACCCUUCCUCUUCCACUCCAACAAAUCCUAACUAUUCUUUUACCUUUCUUUACCUUGCAUGAUCUGGCCCCCUCUCUCUCACCAUUCUUACAUAUUUACAUAUCACCCACUGGCAUUCUUUAGUUCCUGCUACAGUAUGUGGCCUUCCAUAUUUUCCCUGAAGUAACCUUCUCCACUUAAGCCUGUAGUCCCACUCAUUUAAACCUCCUAAGGAACCUUCCAUAAAUAUCCUUCCAUAACACCUUAAAAUUCCUCUACUCCACUGGAUCAAUCCUUCAUGAAUUCAGUACAAACAAAACCCCACCUUCAUUUGACACUUUCAAAUUUCCACAUUGUUUUCUACUUCCUUUUAUUUUUCGAAUAAAAUGUAUACCUUUCUGCCUCCAGUUCCAUACUAUCAGAUACCCCGUCAUCUGGUUUCUGCCUCCUGAAGUGUUUUGGUUUUUUUUUCUUUUUUACUUUUUUACUUUUUAUUUUUUUUUGAGACAGAGUCUUGCUCUCUCACCUAGGCUGGAGUGCAGUGGCACAAGCUCGGCUCACUGCAACCACCACCUCCCAGGUUCAAGCAAUUCUCCUGCCUCAGCCUCCCAAGUAGCUGGUAUUACAGGUCCCUGUCACCAUGCGCCUGGCUAAUUUUUUUUUUUUGUAUUUUUAGUAGGGACGGGGUUUUGCUAUGUUGACCAGGCUGGUUUUGAACUCCUGACCUCAAGUGAUCCACCUGCCUCAGCCUCCCCAAGUGCUGAGAUUACAGGUGUGAGCCACCGCGCCCGGCCUCCUGAAGUUUUUUAGACGUUAAUAGAAACCACUGGACAAAUUUAAUAAUCUCUUCUCAGUCUCCAUCCUUUCUGUGUUUGAAACAACAUUGAUUUCUUACUGGCCUUCAGAAACACUUAUUGUUUUUCUCCUUCUCAGUAUACUGCUUCUCCACCUCAUUUGCUUUCUUCUUCCUCCUGUGGAAUUUCCACCAAAGCUUCAUUCUCCCGAGACAAAAUCUCAGAGCCACCUUUCCAGGUAUGUCCUCAGCUAAACCAUGGUCCUUUAUCUCCAGCUGUUCACAUCUCUGCACAGCUGACCUAGUGUCACCUAAUAUGCAAACAAAGCUUCUCUUCCUCUCUCACAAUCAUCGUUCUGAACUUUUCCCACUUUUGUUGAUACCACUAUUCACUCAAUUCCUUCAUUUCCAGCUCUAAGAAUUAAUUAUCUGAAGUUUGUUUUCUCCCAAGCCCAUCACACUGAUUCAUCAGUUGCUUCCCCAAGCACAUCAUCUUAAUUCAUGCCUGUUACGAUGGCCUUCAAGGUGCCCUAGUUUCACCACACUGAAAUCCACCCUAUAUUAGUGUGAUUACACUGCUUUCAUCAUAUUAUUCCCCUGUCCAGGAACUCAGUUCCCCAUCUAAACAAACACAUGAUCCUAUUAUCAACAUACCCUGCCUAAAUUGCCCGUUUUUCUUACCCUUACAUCUUUCCACUAAGAUACCUUCCAUCUAAUCUGGCUGGUCAUCUCCGUGUGACAGCCCAACCCCUGCCAUCCCUCAUGAAGUUCCUUCUCUUUACUAACUAGGUAGUCUCACCAUAUAAUGAUCUUUUCAGCAAUAAAUUCUUAGAUCUUAAAAGUAUUAUUAUUUUGCCUGGA